AAAACAACGAACUUAAUGAGACAACAGCCAGCACAGACCUGCGCUCUGUCAGCAAGAAGCCUGAGUUCUCGGAGGUGCAGUUAGUGUCUCAGGUAAUACGGUGCAUGAAGUAAAACGGUUUUUCCUCUGCGGUAACGUGUGCUAAAGUAGGACAGAUGGCCAAGACAUUUACGGGCAGGUCUCCCUGUUACUUCAAGUCCGUGUAAGUAAGGCCUCGUUUCAGCCCAACACACAUUCACGACUCGAUAUAGACUUCAGUAGAACGUCUUCUGUGGAGUCCAGUAGAGUUUAUCUCACUGCUUUAGGAAAUAGCUGUCUCCAAAGUUAUGCUAGCUUUAUCUGGUAAAAAUCUAGACCCAGUGCUUUAAAUUUCAAUAAAUGCUCUUGCUUUACUUUUACUUCAGAAUUCAGUGACGAUCCGUGUAGCAAAGUAAAGCCUAUUAUUUGUCUUCACUCUUAGGGUCCACGAUGCUUACAAAUGCUAGAAGGAGUUCGGCGACGCUCGCCCGUGUCUCCAGCAGCGAGCGGCCGACGCUCCUGCCGGAAACAGCCGGGACACGGCGGCCGCGCGUGUUCUCCAGGCCUCCCCGCCCCCCUCCCCCCGCCUCCCAACCCGCAGGACAAAGACUGCGGGGUCGUCCAAGUCACUCAGGGAGUAGCGGCCUCGCAACACGGGAUCCCAGCAACAAUAAGCGUGCGCAGGGGUCGCCUCCCUUGACCGGGGCGACCAGCAGCGGGGACCCGAGGUUUGGUAACUCUUCUAUGGACACAGAAAAAUAGUGACCUGGAGAGAUUACAGAAUCAUUGGUGCAACGGGAUCCACUGUUCCUCCUCCUCAGGAGCCAUUUCCCAGCGCUGCCCUCCGUGCCUCUGCCCGCGCCAUCCCAGCGCUCAGAAUUCCGUCCCUUCUUCUCCAGCUGGAGAAUUCUCCUCCUCCUGAAAGCACAGAUGCCUUCCUCACCUGAACUCUUACUGAUUCCUGGAUGCUGUCUUCUGUGUUCCUGAACUCUAAGAUGGAUCCCAGUGCUUCCAAAACUUGGAAGGAUGGAAGGAUGAAGAUGGGCUGUUCAUUCCAAGAGCAGCAACCUGUUCCAUCCAGUCAGUGCUGUGUUGCCCAGGCUGAGGCUGAGAGUGGGGAUUGACUUCAAAUGGGCAAGAAGGAACUUUUGAGGUUCCCUGACCAGAGAUUGAACCCCGGCCCCCUGAGUUGGGAGUGCAGAGUCUUAUCCACUGCACCACCAGGGAAGUCCCUCAAAAGACAUUUUCAAAGACGACGUCUUCCACCAAGGCCAGCAGUUGGUUGAUGUCCAUUGAGUUCACGAAGUCCCAGCCCGAGCAAGGGGGUGACACCU